rnacentral:misc_RNA from 1 species
AACCAAGAAGGAGUUAAUGAUAAAAGAGAUCUCACCACUAGCAACACAACUAUAAUCAAUCAAAGGAUAGAAUAAAUCAUUGUAAGAAUACUCAGUGUUAUGUUUGUGGCAAAAUAGACCAUUAUGCUCGAGAUUGCUGGCAUACAAGAGCAGAAGGGAAUGUUGCAAUAACCUCACAACCUAAAGUUGAAAUUGAAGAAG